ensembl:lncRNA
GCCGGGGAUCAAACCUGCGUCCUCAUGGAUCCUAGUCAGAUUUGUUUCCGCUGAGCCAUGCUGGGAACUCCCCGGCCAGGUUUACUCAGGUGGAGGACAUAGGCCUCACUUUGAUGCUUUUGCAGUCUCAUAGGCGUCGACAACAAGAAAUAUGCUGGCUCAUGGGGGGACUGAAAUUGUUAGCAGUGGCAUUGUCUGUGGAGUCACAGAGUACCUGAGUUUUGUGUUAGAAGCUCUGGAUUUGAGUCCUGUUUGUGCCGAUUGCAAUGUGGAACCCUCACUGCUUGAAGUGUUGACUUCAUCUACAGUGGGAUUAAUAAUCUCCAAUUACAAAGUUUUGAGGAUAAAUGAAAUAGCACGUGGAAAUGGGUUAUAAGUCUUAAAAAGGUAUGUUAAUGUAAAAGCAUUAUAAGGAGAGUGUCUAUUUUGUGGUGGAAGGAGCAGUUAGUUCUGACAUUUUUAGCUAAUUAUUUGCAGGAUAGGAGGUGAAGCUGAUCACUCCAAGGCUGAUGAAGCAGGUGCUUAGCCUGGCAGUGGAGUAUUUACUUACUUUUUGGAGGGAAAGUAUUUGAUAUAGCUCCCAACCCCUCCGAAAUAAGUAAUCAUUAUUGGAAAACUAGAAAUUUGUUGGAUUUCUUUAUGUUUAUUUUACAGUUUAAUGUUUUAAAACUAUAAUUUGGAAGGUAGAGUAUUGUAUUCUUUAAAAGUGCUUAUAAUCUCUAAAAAAAACCACCUUAAUUGAGCCACCAUAAAAUAAUUUUUACUUAGGUUCUUAUACCUCUCCUGUUUUAAAAAAAGACUGAAGUUAAGGAAAACUUGAGAGGUAUAUUUUAUGUAAUAUACUUUGUACAGAACAUACAAAGGCUGUUUUUUUUUUUUCUCUACAUUAUAGGUAUAUCUCAGAUAUAAAACACUUUAGUAUAACGUUUACUUGUAAAACAAAAUAAAUAAUAAUACUGAAUUUUGAUAUGUAAAAUAAACUAAAAAAAAAAUUAAACCUUUCAAGUUUUGAGGCCUGUUUUUUAAAGAGGUUUUUCAGAUGUAUCUUGCUCUCCCUCUAGUGGUAGUUGAGGCAAACUGAACCAAAACCUGGGCUCAGCUGCAUCAAAAAUAGGGUUUUGAGCAUCCAAGCCUUCUAGAAAGAGCUUUCCAGCAUGCAAAUAUUCAUAUUUUGACAUUUCUUAGGUAGGUACUGAUGUUAAUUUGAAUUUAUUGUUCCCAUAGUUUCAGGUUUUGUUUUUGCUGUUAUCUUUGUUAUUAUUUGAACUUUUUUCUGUUUAUUUUUGGUGGUAGUGGUGUGUGCGUCUGUGUGUUGUAUCCAUGGAAACCAGAGUCCUAUGUCUAGAUAUAAAUUCUAAAUUUUUGAUGCUUUAUACAACAUCUUAUAGUUCAGAUUCUAGAAGAAUUUGUCAAGUUUUUGCCCAAAACUGAGAUUACUCUGGUAGGAUUUUUUUUUUUUUUGGUAGAAAUUAAUAUAUUGCAAAAACCCAUAUACUUGGGUUUGAUCAAACUUCUAGAUCUGACUCCAAUUGGCAGGGAAUACAGAGGACAGGAGAACAUGUUAGAACAUACUGAGGAGGUUACUCAAACUCAGACUGUGAGAAAUUGGAAAGUACGUAAAAGCACAAUGCUUCAACAAAUAAAUUGCACUAGGAAGAAAAAAGAGAUCAGAGUGGAACCUCACAAUUAAAAGAGACUCAAAAGACCAUAGUCAUUUACUACAUCUGGCUCUCAUUUGGAUCUUGAUUAAAAUAAACAUGGUGAAGAAAACCUGUUAGUAAAAUUUAAGAGACAAAUAGUCAACAGUACAUGUUUGUCAUUAAGGAAUUGUUAUUAGGUAUGAUAAUGGUAUUUUAGUUGUGUUUAGAGACGAGUUAUUGGGAGUUCCUGCUGUGGCAUCGUGGGUUAAGAAUCUGACUGUAGUGGCUUGGGUCACUGUGAUUCGAUCCCCAGCCCAGCACAGCGGGUUAAAGGAUGUGGCGUUGCGGCAGCUGCAGUGUGAUUCUCAGCUCUGGCUCCGAUUCAGUCCCUGGCCUGCGAACAGCUAUGUGCUGUGGGUGUGGCCAUUAAAAGACGCAAGUUAUUGUCUUUUAGAGAUUCUCACUGAAAUAUUUAUAGAUGACGCCGUAUGAUACUUGGGAUCUGCUUCAACGUAGUGCUGGGGAAGGGAUGCAUGGAGGGCAGGAUAUGGCAAGACUGGUCGUGGGCUUAUGGUUAUUGGCACCAGGUGGAUACCUGGGAAUUCCUUGUAUCAUUUUAUCUACUUUUGAGUGUAUUUAAAAUUCUCCAUCGUAAAACAAUAAUAUUGAUAAAUUGGUUACAGCACCUUUAGAACAGCCACGUAAAUGAAUACAGGCUGCUGAAGACGAAAACAAUUCCCUUCACUUGCCUCAACCCAAGAUAAAUUCACUUUGGACUUCCCUUUGUAUUAGAGGUAGAACCUGAAGUGCUUAGAGCAGCCCUGAGAAGCCUGGCUCAGACCAAAGUGAGCCUUGAUUUCUGGGACCGCUAAGAAAUUGGGUUAGUUUUAUCUUGACCUUAAUUUCAAAUGAAGUCAAAGGGGAUCUUAGCCUGAAGGUCAGGAGUCAGGACUUCUUUGAAGAAGAGACAGUAUGAUAAGCUCAAAUUACCCAGUUCCCUGAGAUAGUUCAAGAUCAGUUAAGGAUAAGUGAGCAAGCAUUUCGCAAGCAGUUACUGGUGCCUGAAGUGUGUCGGACGUUUUGAAGGUGGAGCAGUGCAGGUUGGAGUAGUGACAGAGAACGAGCCAUUGACUGAACCCGCUGUUCACAUUCCACUGUCUGUUCACCGCCUGGUAGUUGUCUCCUGCACCCACCGGACCCCAGCCUCAGCACACAUGGAAAACCACGCCCCUGCCUGUUGCAAGGAGGCUGUGUACUGCUUCCCAGCCUCGUGUUUCCCUGGAUUCUUGUUCUGAACACAAUGUCCAUGUGGAGCCAGGAUGCUGCUGUCCUACCAGUCUUCCCUCACUGCCGUCCUCGGAUGGAAUGUUCCUUCUCCCUACCCAGGAAAACAUAGAAUUGGGUCUCCCUGCAUCCUGAUGUCAUUCUGAAAUAAGACAUUACCCUUUGCACAUUUUAAGUUACGUAAAUAUUUCCUCCUGGAAGCCCUAAAAUAAGCCUAAACCAUUUUCUAAUCUCCAACAUAACCAUUUCAUCAUUCAUUCAACAAGUGCCUAAUAUUUCCUAGGGCCAGGGCCAGGGAAUGCUGAUAGAAAGGUAAGCAAAAAAAAAGACCCGGGUCCUUGCCUCUUUUGCAGACGAAUGGGUUUUAAUGAUCCGAGAUAAGAUGUUAUUUGGAACAAGUCUUUACUGCAGAUAGAAACCUACAGGAAAGAGAGCAGAACAAGGAAAGCCCAGGCUGGCUUCCUGCCUCGGUCUCUCUAAAUCUAAUUCCAUUUGUGUAGGGGCAGCUUUUUUUCCUACCACUGGGAUUAUUCUGAACUGGAAUUAUAUCAUUACAUGACUCAGAAUCCAGGGCAAACUCCAAGAACCCAGAGAGAGAAUUUUUUUUUUUUUUUUAUAAACUCUUUUUUAAGUCUACUUCUUUAAAUCCUCGUUUCUUGCCAGGAUUAAUGUCUUCCCAGGAAACUUAGAAAGGGUAGAAUUUCCAGACAGGUGGAAUGAUCAUAACUUUAAAAGUUAGAAUAGGUGUUCCCGUUGUGGUUCAGUGGUUAACAAACCCAACUGGUAUCCUUGAAGACGCAGAUUCGAUUCCUGGCCUUGCUCAGUGGGUUAAGGAUCCGGUGUUGCCGUGAGCUGUGAUGUGGGUUGAAGAUGCAGCUUGGAUCCUGCAUUGCUGUGGCUGUGGCCUAGGCCGGCAGCUGCAGCUCCAAUUUGACCCCUAGCCUGGGAACCUCCAUAUGCUGUGGGUGCAGCCCUAAAAAAACACACAACAAAACAAGUUAGAAUAAAAUAAAAGAAUGUAGAGGCAACUUUCAACCUUUUAUAAGGAAGAAUUUUUAACAUUUUUUUGAUGUUCCAAUGAAGGAAGUCACCUUGUGAAGUUGUCCUUGAAAAUGUGAAUAGGCAGGAUGGCUGUUUGUAGAGGCUGUGAAAAUGCCUAUUUAACUGCCAACACUUGAUUUUUGAACAAUGAAAGUGGGAUUAUUAACGGCACUGUACUGUCUGAAAUGGAGAGGGAUAUUAGGGCAGAGAUGUUUUCUGUUUACAGCUUAUAUGUAAAAUGGGUGUAGACAAAAGCUUAGGCAUCUGGAUUAUCAUAUGCGUCAGUAGGUGGGACGCUGGCCCUAGAUUGUGGGAGCAGCAGUGAACCCAUCUGCCACAGGUCUUACCUUCUCAGAAGGGACUUGAGAAGAUUUUUCACUGAGAGCAGUUUUUACUGUAGAUUGCAGAGUCGGUAUCUGCUGGGAGGUCGGAAGAUGCUAGUUUGAGUCAUCUCUUAGGCCAUUCUCAAGGAGAUGAUACUGGUUAUGUUGCCACUUACAGGGUUUGAUGCACCAAAUGUGAGGUACCACUUAGACCUGAAACACAACCACCUGAAACACAACCACCACCACCGCCAACAGCCACGUGUUAGAAUAAUGUGGGUAACAAACAACUGUGAAAUCCUAGUUGUUGAUGGCAACAAAAUUUGCUUCUCCCCUUACGUUACAUGCCUACUAUGCUCAGGUCUCCUUCUCUGGAAUCCAUGCUGAUGGAAUAGCCACCAUCUGAAACUUUACCAGUUACCAUGGUUGAGGGAAAGGAAAAAGAGGGGAUGAAAAUUAUUUACUGGCUCUUAAAAAUUUCUUUUUGAAAUAGAGUGUUGGGCUGCUGGGUUGUGAUUAAGGUGGCAUUUUGAUCAUAUUAGAUCUGUGAUCUGGGAAUCAGUGGAUCCAGCCUCUUACUAGCAAUCUUCUUCACCAGAUCCUGGAAAAAAAAUAUGCAUGAAGAAAAUAGUAAGAAUACAGAACAGAAAAAGGCUCACAGACAUAGAAAACAAAUCUAUGGUUACUAAAAGGGAAAGGGGGUGGGGAAGAGAAAUUAGGAGUUUGGGAUUUGCAAAUACAAACUGCUAUGUAUAAAUAAAUAACAAGGUUCUACUGUGUAGCACAGGGAACUAUAGUCAAUAUCCUGUAAUAAAUGACAAUCGAAGAGAAUAAAACAUAGUAAGAAAAUAGCCCAUGGCCCCUCUGAUGUGUAUGUAUCCCUAAUGAAGAAUUCCAGGGAGCUGGAAAGCAUCCACCAGGAACUGUUUACCUAAGCCCAAGCAGCUUAGGAUGAAAGGAGUUAAAUGCCUGCUCUGCUUACUUCUACUCCACAGCAUGGAUCUGAAUCUUAUUCCUCUUACUGCACAUCUGCUGACAAGAGGCUUAAGCGAGCAUGAAACAGAGGGGAAGGAACUGGAGAGCAUUUGUCUCAAAAUCUAGUGGGGAGCUGGUAUAGGCUCCAUGUCUAUCACCAAGCCACAAGGGGAGAGAACCCAGAGAGAAGCGGACAGAGUGAGCCUGGCAGCAGAAAGCACAUGGAGGGCGAGGUGCUGGGCUGCCUCAGGAAGCACGGGCCUGAGAGCAGACCUUCACUCCUCUUGGGUAUUGAGGAAGAGAGGUGGAAGGGACCACAGGAGUGCCUAUGGUGACACAGUGGAAACAAAUCCAGCUAGGAACCAUGAGGGUGUGGGUUCAAUCCCUGGCCUCACUCACUGGGGUUAAGGAUCUGGCAAGCUGUGGUGUAGGUCCCAGAUGUAGCUGGGAUCCUGCAUUGCUGUGGCUGUGGCGUAGGCCGGCAGCUGUAGCUCCAAUUCAACCUCUAGCCUGGUAACCUCCAUAUGCCACUGGCGCAGCCCUAAAAAGCAAAAAAAAGGAAAAAAAGAAAAAAAAAAAA